rnacentral:rRNA from 1 species
GAUGAACGCUAGCGACAGGCUUAACACAUGCAAGUCGAGGGGCAGCACGGGAGUAGCAAUACAACUGGUGGCGACCGGCGCACGGGUGAGUAACGCGUAUGCAACCUACCUAUCAGAGGGGAAUAACCCGGCGAAAGUCGGACUAAUACCGCAUAAAACAGGGGCACCGCAUGGUGAUAUUUGUUAAAGAAAUUCGCUGAUAGAUGGGCAUGCGUUCCAUUAGGUAGUUGGUGAGGUAACGGCUAACCAAGCCGACGAUGGAUAGGGGAACUGAGAGGUUGGUCCCCCACGCGGGUAAUGAGACACGGACCAGACUCCUCCGGGAGGCAGCAGUGAGGAAUAUUGGUCAAUGGGCGGGAGCCUGAACCAGCCAAGUCGCGUGAAGGAAGAAGGAUCUAUGGUUCGUAAACUUCUUUUGCAGGGGAAUAAAGUGCGGGACGUGUCCUGUUUUGUAUGUACCCUGAGAGUAAGGAUCGGCUAACUCCGUGCCAGCCGCCGCAGUAACAC